GUGGAUUAGAUACCCUAGUAGUCCACGCCGUAAACGAUGAUAACUAGCUGUCCGGACACUUGGUGUUUGGGUGGCGCAGCUAACGCAUUAAGUUAUCCGCCUGGGGAGUACGGUCGCAAGAUUAAAACUCAAAGGAAUUGACGGGGGCCUGCACAAGCGGUGGAGCAUGUGGUUUAAUUCGAAGCAACGCGCAGAACCUUACCAGCCUUUGACAUCCUAGGACGGCUUCUGGAGACAGAUUCCUUCCCUUCGGGGACCUAGUGACAGGUGCUGCACGGCCGUCGUCAACU
rnacentral:rRNA from 1 species